GCUCUCGCAGCGACUCUAAAGAAAUGCAUCAUGUCGCCCUAGCUGGGUUGGCAACGCCAUCAAUCUGCGCUGGGAAGACCCGAAUUAGGGUCCAACUGGCAGCUCCAAAGUCGUUUGGAGUUCACAGAUCAAACGAUAGCGGCCACAUGCGUGGUUCGAGACAUGAUCGGCCUCGGCUGCCAUUAGCCGAGCAUUUGCGCGGAACCUGCGGAAGGAUCAUU
rnacentral:rRNA from 1 species